rnacentral:rRNA from 1 species
UACGUAGGUUGCGAGCGUUAUUCGGAUUUACUGGGCGUAAAGCGCACCGAGGUGGCUUCUUAAGUUGGAUGUGAAAUCUCCCGGCUUAACCGGGAGGCGCCAUUCAAUACUGAGGAGCUUGAGGCCAGCAGGGGAAGGUGGAAUUCCCGGUGUAGUGGUGGAAUGCGCAGAUAUCAGGAGGAACACCGAUGGCGAAGGCAGGUCUCUGGGCCACUACUGACGCUGAGACGCGAAAGCGUGGGGAGCGAACAGG